rnacentral:rRNA from 1 species
GACGAACGCUGGCGGCGUGCUUAACACAUGCAAGUCGAACGGAAAGGCCCUGCUUUUGUGGGGUGCUCGAGUGGCGAACGGGUGAGUAACACGUGAGUAACCUGCCCUUGACUUUGGGAUAACUUCAGGAAACUGGGGCUAAUACCGGAUAGGAGCUCCUGCUGCAUGGUGGGGGUUGGAAAGUUUCGGCGGUUGGGGAUGGACUCGCGGCUUAUCAGCUUGUUGGUGGGGUAGUGGCUUACCAAGGCUUUGACGGGUAGCCGGCCUGAGAGGGUGACCGGCCACAUUGGGACUGAGAUACGGCCCAGACUCCUACGGGAGGCAGCAGUGGGGAAUAUUGCACAAUGAGCGGAAGCCUGAUGCAGCAACGCCGCGUGCGGGAUGACGGCCUUCGGGUUGUGAACCGCUUUCGCCUGUGACGAAGCGUGAGUGACGGUAAUGGGUAAAGAAGCACCGGCUAACUACGUG